CGCGGGGUAGAGCAGUUGGUAGCUCGUCGGGCUCAUAACCCGGAGGUCGCAGCGUUCAAGUCCUGCCCCCGCUACUA
rnacentral:tRNA from 2 species